AGAGUUUGAUCAUGGCUCAGAUUGAACGCUGGCGGCAUGCGUAACACAUGCAAGUUGAACGGAGCUGUGUGCUUGCACACAGUCGAGUAGCGGACGGGUGAGUAAUACGUAGGAAUCUGUCUUAGAGAGGGGGAUAACCCGAGGAAACUUGGGCUAAAACCGCAUACACUCGGAAGAGGAAAGCAGGGGACCGCAAGGCC
rnacentral:rRNA from 1 species